ensembl:snRNA U6 U6 spliceosomal RNA
GUGCUUGCUUCGGCAGCACAUAUACUAAAAUUGGAACAAUACAGAGGAGAUUAGCAUGGCCCCUGCACAAGGAUGACACGCAAAUUCGUGGAAAGAAAAGCUAAUUUU